CUUGGCCUGGCUGCAAUUGAGCAGGCUAGGAAGCACCAGGCCUCGCGCAUCACCUGGCUGCGGGCUAGCGAUGCCCGGUCGGCCUUCUUCCAGGCCAAGAUCAACUCUAGGAUGCAGAAAAACUUCAUUCACGCCAUCCACAUGAUAGACUCGAUCGUCACCUCGCAUAGCGACAAGGCCAGUGCUAUCUACGACCACUUCAGCUCCUCCCUUGGAGCGGAGCCUGUCAGAGACACCACCAUAAACUAG
rnacentral:rRNA from 1 species